rnacentral:rRNA from 1 species
GGCCGUGACUGCGUGCCUUUUGAAGAAUGAGCCUGCGAGUUUGCGGUGUGUAGCGAGGUUAACCCGUGUGGGGUAGCCGUAGCGAAAGCGAGUCCGAAUAGGGCGACUGAGUUGCAUGCCCAAGACCCGAAGCGGAGUGAUCUAGCCAUGGGCAGGUUGAAGCGCGGGUAAGACCGUGUGGAGGACCGAACCCACCAGGGUUGAAAACCUGGGGGAUGACCUGUGGUUAGGGGUGAAAGGCCAAUCAAACUCCGUGAUAGCUGGUUCUCCCCGAAAUGCAUUUAGGUGCAGCGUCACGUGUUUCUUGCCGGAGGUAGAGCACUGGAUAGGCGAUGGGCCUCACCGGGUUACUGACCUUAGCCAAACUCCGAAUGCCGGUAAGUGAGAGCGUGGCAGUGAGACUGUGGGGGAUAAGCUCCAUGGUCGAGAGGGAAACAGCCCAGAACACCGACUAAGGUCCCUAAGCGUGUGCUAAGUGGGAAAGGAUGUGGAGUCGCAGAGACAACCAGGAGGUUGGCUUAGAAGCAGCCACCCUUGAAAGAGUGCGUAAUAGCUCACUGGUCAAGUGAUUCCGCGCCGACAAUGUAGCGGGGCUCAAGCACAUCACCGAAGUCGUGUCAUUGCAACAAUAGGGCCAACGCCUGUUGUGAUGGGUAGGGGAGCGUCGUGUGCCGGGUGAAGCGGCGGUGGAAACCAGUCGUGGACGGUAUACGAGUGAGAAUGCAGGCAUGAGUAGCGAUACAAGAGUGGGAAACUCUUGCGCCGAUUGACCAAGGGUUCCUGGGUCAAGCUGAUCUGCCCAGGGUAAGUCGGGACCUAAGGCGAGGCCGACAGGCGUAGUCGAUGGACAACGGGUUGAUAUUCCCGUACCCGCUUUGAAGCGCCAACGCUGAACCUUCUGAUGCUAAGCCCGUGAAGCCGUCCCGGAGCCUUCGGGCAAAGGGAAGUGGUGGAGCCGGUGACCCAACGGGGUAGUAGGUGAGCGAUGGGGUGACGCAGGAAGGUAGUCCAGCCCGGGCGGUGGUUGUCCCGGGGUAAGGGUGUAGGACGUGAGGUAGGCAAAUCCGCCUCACACGUAGUCUGAGACCUGAUGCCGAGCCGAUUGUGGUGAAGUGGAUGAUCCUAUGCUGUCGAGAAAAGCCUCUAGCGAGUUUCAUGGCGGCCCGUACCCCAAACCGACUCAGGUGGUCAGGUAGAGAAUACCGAGGCGUUCGGGUGAACUAUGGUUAAGGAACUCGGCAAAAUGCCCCCGUAACUUCGGGAGAAGGGGGGCCAUUCCUGGUGACGAGUCUUGCACUCCGAGCUGGGGGUGGCCGCAGAGACCAGCGAGAAGCGACUGUUUACUAAAAACACAGGUCCGUGCGAAGCCGUAAGGCGAUGUAUACGGACUGACGCCUGCCCGGUGCUGGAACGUUAAGGGGACCGGUUAGCUUUGAUUCGUCGAGGCGAAGCUGAGAACUUAAGCGCCAGUAAACGGCGGUGGUAACUAUAACCAUCCUAAGGUAGCGAAAUUCCUUGUCGGGUAAGUUCCGACCUGCACGAAUGGCGUAACGACUUCUCGACUGUCUCAACCAUAGGCCCGGUGAAAUUGCAUUACGAGUAAAGAUGCUCGUUUCGCGCAGCAGGACGGAAAGACCCCGGGACCUUUACUAUAGCUUGAUAUUGGUGUUCGGUUCGGCUUGUGUAGGAUAGGUGGGAGACUGUGAAAGCCCAACGCCAGUUGGGUGGGAGUCGUCGUUGAAAUACCACUCUGGUCGUGCUGGAUGUCUAACCUGGGUCCGUGAUCCGGAUCAGGGACAGUGUCUGGUGGGUAGUUUAACUGGGGCGGUUGCCUCCUAAAGGGUAACGGAGGCGCCCAAAGGUUCCCUCAGCCUGGUUGGCAAUCAGGUGUUGAGUGUAAGUGCACAAGGGAGCUUGACUGUGAGACUGACGGGUCGAGCAGGUACGAAAGUAGGGACUAGUGAUCCGGCGGUGGCUUGUGGAAGCGCCGUCGCUCAACGGAUAAAAGGUACCCCGGGGAUAACAGGCUGAUCUUCCCCAAGAGUCCAUAUCGACGGGAUGGUUUGGCACCUCGAUGUCGGCUCGUCGCAUCCUGGGGCUGGAGUAGGUCCCAAGGGUUGGGCUGUUCGCCCAUUAAAGCGGUACGCGAGCUGGGUUUAGAACGUCGUGAGACAGUUCGGUCCCUAUCCGCUGUGCGCGUAGGAGUGUUGAGAAGGGCUGUCCCUAGUACGAGAGGACCGGGACGGACGAACCUCUGGUGUGCCAGUUGUUCUGCCAAGGGCAUGGCUGGUUGGCUACGUUCGGGAGGGAUAACCGCUGAAAGCAUCUAAGCGGGAAGCCUGCUUCGAGAUGAGCACUCCCACCUCCUUGAGAGGGUAAGGCUCCCAGUAGACGACUGGGUUGAUAGGCCGGGUAUGGAAGCCCUGUGAGGGGUGGAGUUGACCGGUACUAAUAGGCCGAGGGCUUGUCCUCAG